rnacentral:misc_RNA from 1 species
GAUGAAGAACGCAUCGAAAUGCGAUAAGUAAUGUGAAUUGCAGAAUUCAGUGAAUCAUCGAAUCUUUGAACGCACAUUGCGCCCCUUGGUAUUCCGAGGGGCAUGCCUGUUCGAGCGUCAUUUCAACCCUCAAGCACAGCUUGGUCUUGGGCUUCGCCGCUAACCCGGCGGGUCUUAAAAUCAGUGGCGGUGCCGUCGGGCCCUGAGCGCAGUAAUUUCUCUCGCUAUAGGGUCCCGGCGGAUGCUGGCCAGUAACCCCCAAUUUUCUAUGGUUGACCUCGGAUCAGGUAGGGAUACCCGCUGAACUUAAGCAUAUCAAUAAGCGGAGGA